rnacentral:lncRNA from 1 species
CUUGAUCCAACCUGGUGAAACCCACUCCCCAGCCCAGCUACUGGCAUGGCACGCUCGCCCCAGCACUCAACAGCCAGGGUUUUUUUAGCUGCGGCCACAUGACAUCAUUUCCAACUGGCCGGCCUCCUCCGCCCCGCCUGUGAUUGCUGUGUUGUGCGCACUCAACUAAAAUGGGGCAAGAAUGUAAGAAGGCUGGUCCAGGAGGGCCAACCUCUUCUGCUUUCUCAUCGACUGAAUCCCCCAGUGGGGCAGUGGCACGUAAGUCAAGGAUUCGUGCUCCAGGAGAAAGAACUCUGGGCCUGGAGCCAGGAAACAAGAGGUUGGGUCCCAACCCAGCUACUCAUUCAACCAUCAUGGAGUCUUGGGAAAAUCUCUCUGCUUUUCUAGCCUUCCACUACCCCACAGGGCUGUCCUGGAAUGCAGUGAGCUCGGUGUGGCAUGCUUUGCUUUUCCCUGAUAGAAUACCCCGGGAAGCCCAGGACAGGGACAAGCAGGGCUAGAUCUACAGUGUGGCCACAGAGUCCUCCAGUCUCCUUCAGCAGCUCCUCACCUGCUGGGGCUGAGGAUGUGUCCCCGAGCUGGCGAGGACCCACAUCGUUGGCCACAACCCCUGCAUUAAUUGAGAAAAAAAAAAUCACUACCUAGGAGACUUUUGAUUGAUUAAUAAUCAUAAUUAAUAAUAGUAAUAACUCUAAGCCUGCUGUUCUAAGUUCUGGGCUAGACUCUGAACCAGUUCUCUGCAUUUCACUUUCCCCAUCUAUAAACUCCAAAAGAUGGACCACAUAGUCCUCUUUGACGCAGAGGCCUUCC